rnacentral:rRNA from 1 species
UCGGGAAUUUUGGGCAAUGGGCGAAAGCCUGACCCAGCAACGCCGCGUGAAGGAUGAAGUAUUUCGGUAUGUAAACUUCGAAAGAAUAGGAAGAAUAAAUGACGGUACUAUUUAUAAGGUCCGGCUAACUACGUGCCAGCAGCCGCGGUAAUACGUAGGGACCAAGCGUUGUUCGGAUUUACUGGGCGUAAAGGGCGCGUAGGCGGCAAUUCAAGUCAUCUGUGAAAUCUCCGGGCUUAACUCGGAACGGUCAGAUGAUACUGCUUUGCUAGAGUGUAGAAGGGGCAAUCGGAAUUCUUGGUGUAGCGGUGAAAUGCGUAGAUAUCAAGAGGAACACCUGAGGUGAAGACGGGUUGCUGGGCUGACACUGACGCUGAGGCGCGAAAGC